UUGCUGUGAUGACUUUUCUUAGGACACCUUUGGAUUCAACGUGAAAAGAAACUUGUAUUCUGAGCAAU